GCUGAAACCACAGUGCUCCAGUGACCCUCCCACAGGGACUAUGGCCGGGAUGCAGGAUGGGACCAAGCGAGUGGGCCACCCAGGGACCUGCACUGGCCAUGUCAUCCAUCGAGUUACAGAUCUCAUGUCUACAGCAGCUGUCAGCUCAGGGGGAGAGGCACUGGCUGUUGUGGAUGUCCCAUAGGCAGGGGAUAUUCCCACAGGUGGUGCAAUCCAAGCAAUAUCACAGUAAUGAUCACAAGAACAGGACCCAGUGGAUCAGUAAUUCUGAACAUUCCCCAGGGCUCUACAAGACAGAGUGAACGAUUUCCAGCAGCUUCAGUGGGC
ensembl:lncRNA